GAUGAACGCUGGCGGCGUGCUUAACACAUGCAAGUCGAACGGUGAAGCCCAGCUUGCUGGGUGGAUCAGUGGCGAACGGGUGAGUAACACGUGAGCAAUCUGCCCCUGACUCUGGGAUAAGCGCUGGAAACGGCGUCUAAUACUGGAUAUGAACCGUGGAGGCAUCUUCAACGGUUGGAAAGAUUUUUUGGUCAGGGAUGAGCUCGCGGCCUAUCAGCUUGUUGGUGAGGUAAUGGCUCACCAAGGCGUCGACGGGUAGCCGGCCUGAGAGGGUGACCGGCCACACUGGGACUGAGACACGGCCCAGACUCCUACGGGAGGCAGCAGUGGGAAUAUUGCACAAUGGGCGCAAGCCUGAUGCAGCAACGCCGCGUGAGGGAUGACGGCC
rnacentral:rRNA from 1 species